CCCGCACAAGCGGAGGAACAUGUGGUUUAAUUCGAUGAUACGCGAGGAACCUUACCCGGGCCUGAACUGCACAGGAAGGAUACAGAGAUGUUGACGCCCUUCGGGGCCUGUGUGGAGGUGCUGCAUGGUUGUCGUCAGCUCGUGCCGUGAGGUGUCGGCUUAAGUGCCAUAACGAGCGCAACCCCUUUCGCCAGUUGCCAUCAGGUGAUGCUGGGCACUCCGGCGACACUGCCACCGCAAGGUGCGAGGAAGGUGGGAAUGACGUCAAAUCAGCACGGCCCUUACGUCCGGGGCUACACACGUGUUACAAUGGGUGGUACAGAGAGUCAGGCGUUGGCAACACCGCCUUAAUCCAUAAAGCCAUCCUCAGUUCGGAUUGGGGUCUGCAACCCGACCCCAUGAAGCUGGAUUCGCUAGUAAUCGCGCAUCAGCCAUGGCGCGGUGAAUACGUUCCCGGGCCUUGUACACACCGCCCGUCAAGCCAUGAAAGCCGGGGGUGCCUGAA
rnacentral:rRNA from 1 species